AGACCACAAGGCUCGGGGAUUGCACCGCAACAGUCCUGCCUGCGUGUCAGCACCGUGUGGGAGCAGCAGCCUGGGACUGCAUGGCUGCUUGCGUGUGAGGAGACGCUAAGGAGGGACAGAGAUGCUGGAGAUCAGCCUUGCUCACCCACAACACCACCAUCUGGGGGAAGUCCCAGUGUCAUCCUGGAAGACUGGUUGAAGUAGCAGGAGGAGGGGGAGGAGAAAGGAAGCAGAACCAGAGAUGUACCACUGUGGGGAGUGCCUGGCAGGCAGAACUCAGGCCUGACUUCUUUCUGUAUGUUCAAGUGUAGGGCUCAGGAAAGCUCCAAUGAUCAACAUUCAAGUGUAUUCACAUAGGCAGGUACAUCCCUUACCACAGGAAUAGCACUUUUCCAGUUUCUUCUAGCAAAGUUAAACUCAAUACAAUCUGAUCAAGUUUACAGCCCAAAGAGGAGUGAUGCUCACAGACUCCCUGCACAGUGUGGAGGCCAAAUCACAGAUUUCAAAGUGGGAGGCCAGAGAACUGAUAAGCCUUCCUAGCUGGAGCUUCACUGUCGUACAUCAUGUGGCCCUUGAAGGAGCAGCCCAGACUCCCCUAGGGCUCUCAUUAUGGUGGCCUCUAAGGUCCUGUGCAACCAUUACUGGAUGGAUGAUGCAGCUCAGGAGAAAGGGACCUGGCCCAGGUCACAUCAAAGUAAGUGGUGGUCUGUGUCAUCCCAUCGCCACGCCACUCCCCCCCCCGCCCACCCCACUUGUGUACUUGCCUGCAGCUAAGCGGCCUCCCAUUUCAAACCCACCAGAAGUAGAGCCUCCUGCUGCUUUUGGUGUCAAAAAGGAAGAAACUGACAGGUCCUCCAGAGACUUCAAGUUUAUGCUGGUGUUAAAUUGGGAGACAAAUACCUCGGUGGGCCCUUGCCCCAGGGCACUAAGCGUCUCGGUGGACAAUAUCCUGGACAGUGGCUUGACAAUCCAACAGACACCGUUUACACGUGGCUGUUUGCCUCUCGUCAGAUAAUGUUUAUUUCUCUUCCUGAUUAUGAAAGGCACACAGGCAUGCCUGUUUCUUGAAAGGGCCUUUGAUAAGAGCCGAGGGCAGCACAUGAAAGAGCUGUUCUACAAGAUCCAUUCUGCCAGCGCCUACAUGCAUGUGGCCAGGGCGGGUUUUUUUUGUUUUGUUUUGUUUUUUGUUUUGUGUUUUUUUUUUUAGGAGAUGAGGGGAACAACCCAAGGAGUGGGUGCCCGACAUGGCCCAUGGCUGCUCCCCCACCCCAACAAGCAAGGCAGCUCACAGAGGUGCCCUUGUUCCCUUACUCAGUGACCCAGGCUCUGCCUGCCACUCAGGGCGUGGCCCUCUCCUCAGCCCUAGGCAUUCUCCCUUUGAGAGGCUUUACCCCACAGCAUGUCAGAUAUGUGAAAAUGCACCCACAUCCCAUAUUAAAUGUAAUUUUUGCUAUAAAAUAUUUCAAAGGAUUUUUAUAAUUCCGCUUUCAAAAUUAUUUGCCUAUGAGUAAGUCGUUUUGUUCCCAGUUGGCUAUGAUUUCUUUGUAAUCAUCGGGCAUACUUGGGAAUUCUUGCAAAGUGAGGAAAUCUAAGCAACAAAUUGUUUUCAAAUGUAAUGAAAUUUUUAGGAAUACUAAAUUUAACAAUUAACGAGGCUGAUAUUAUAUUAUGUUUUGUAGACAUAUAAUGGAACAUUUAUUAAUUCCAAUUCUGCUGUUUUCUUUUCAUAUUUUAGAGCCAAUAAAUGUUCUUUUUCUUGGG
ensembl:lincRNA Gm14812 predicted gene 14812